rnacentral:tRNA from 1 species
GGGGGUGUAGCUCAAAGGUAGAGCACCUGCUUUGCAAGCAGGUGGUUGGGGGUUCGAGUCCCUUCACCUCCACCA